UACGUAGGGUGCAAGCGUUAAUCGGAAUUACUGGGCGUAAAGCGCGCGCAGGCGGUCCUUCAAGUCAGAGGUGAAAGCCCAGAGCUCAACUCUGGAACGGCCUUUGAGACUAGAGGACUUGGGUACGGGAGAGGUGAGUGGAAUUCCGAGUGUAGAGGUGAAAUUCGUAGAUAUUCGGAGGAACACCAGUGGCGAAGGCGGCUCACUGGCUCGGUACUGACGCUGAGGUGCGAAAGCGUGGGGAGCAAACAGG
rnacentral:rRNA from 1 species